rnacentral:rRNA from 1 species
AACGAACGCUGGCGGCAUGCCUAACACAUGCAAGUCGAACGAGACCUUCGGGUCUAGUGGCGCACGGGUGCGUAACGCGUGGGAAUCUGCCCUUGGGUUCGGAAUAACUCAGAGAAAUUUGAGCUAAUACCGGAUGAUGACGAAAGUCCAAAGAUUUAUCGCCCAGGGAUGAGCCCGCGUAAGAUUAGCUUGUUGGUGGGGUAAUGGCCUACCAAGGCGACGAUCUUUAGCUGGUCUGAGAGGAUGAUCAGCCACACUGGGACUGAGACACGGCCCAGACUCCUACGGGAGGCAGCAGUGGGGAAUAUUGGACAAUGGGCGCAAGCCUGAUCCAGCAAUGCCGCGUGAGUGAUGAAGGCCUUAGGGUUGUAAAGCUCUUUUACCAGGGAUGAUAAUGACAGUACCUGGAGAAUAAGCUCCGGCUAACUCCGUGCCAGCAGCCGCGGUAAAGUAUGUACG